rnacentral:misc_RNA from 1 species
GAUGAAGAACGCAGCGAAAUGCGAUACGUAAUGUGAAUUGCAGAAUUCAGUGAAUCAUCGAAUCUUUGAACGCACAUUGCGCCUGCCAGCACUCUGGCAGGCAUGCCUGUUCGAGCGUCAUUUCAACCAUCAAGCCCUAGGCUUGCGUUGGAGCCCUGCGGCUGCCGCAGGCCCCUAAAAGCAGUGGCGGGCUCGCUAUCACACCGAGUGCAGUAGAUUACUCUUCGCUCAGGGCGUGUGGCGGGUUCCAGCCGUGAAACCCCCUACUUCUCAAGGUUGACCUCGGAUCAGGUAGGAAUACCCGCUGAACUUAAGCAUACCAAUAAGCGGAGGA